rnacentral:rRNA from 1 species
AGCGUACACGGUGGAUGCCCUGGCAGUCAGAGGCGAUGAAGGACGUGCUAAUCUGCGAUAAGCGUCGGUAAGGUGAUAUGAACCGUUAUAACCGGCGAUUUCCGAAUGGGGAAACCCAGUGUGUUUCGACACACUAUCAUUAACUGAAUCCAUAGGUUAAUGAGGCGAACCGGGGGAACUGAAACAUCUAAGUACCCCGAGGAAAAGAAAUCAACCGAGAUUCCCCCAGUAGCGGCGAGCGAACGGGGAGCAGCCCAGAGCCUGAAUCAGUGUGUGUGUUAGUGGAAGCGUCUGGAAAGGCGCGCGAUACAGGGUGACAGCCCCGUACACAAAAAUGCACAUAUUGUGAGCUCGAUGAGUAGGGCGGGACACGUGGUAUCCUGUCUGAAUAUGGGGGGACCAUCCUCCAAGGCUAAAUACUCCUGACUGACCGAUAGUGAACCAGUACCGUGAGGGAAAGGCGAAAAGAACCCCGGCGAGGGGAGUGAAAAAGAACCUGAAACCGUGUACGUACAAGCAGUGGGAGCACGCUUAGGCGUGUGACUGCGUACCUUUUGUAUAAUGGGUCAGCGACUUAUAUUCUGUAGCAAGGUUAACCGAAUAGGGGAGCCGAAGGGAAACCGAGUCUUAACUGGGCGUUAAGUUGCAGGGUAUAGACCCGAAACCCGGUGAUCUAGCCAUGGGCAGGUUGAAGGUUGGGUAACACUAACUGGAGGACCGAACCGACUAAUGUUGAAAAAUUAGCGGAUGACUUGUGGCUGGGGGUGAAAGGCCAAUCAAACCGGGAGAUAGCUGGUUCUCCCCGAAAGCUAUUUAGGUAGCGCCUCGUGAAUUCAUCUCCGGGGGUAGAGCACUGUUUCGGCAAGGGGGUCAUCCCGACUUACCAACCCGAUGCAAACUGCGAAUACCGGAGAAUGUUAUCACGGGAGACACACGGCGGGUGCUAACGUCCGUCGUGAAGAGGGAAACAACCCAGACCGCCAGCUAAGGUCCCAAAGUCAUGGUUAAGUGGGAAACGAUGUGGGAAGGCCCAGACAGCCAGGAUGUUGGCUUAGAAGCAGCCAUCAUUUAAAGAAAGCGUAAUAGCUCACUGGUCGAGUCGGCCUGCGCGGAAGAUGUAACGGGGCUAAACCAUGCACCGAAGCUGCGGCAGCGACACUAUGUGUUGUUGGGUAGGGGAGCGUUCUGUAAGCCUGUGAAGGUGUGCUGUGAGGCAUGCUGGAGGUAUCAGAAGUGCGAAUGCUGACAUAAGUAACGAUAAAGCGGGUGAAAAGCCCGCUCGCCGGAAGACCAAGGGUUCCUGUCCAACGUUAAUCGGGGCAGGGUGAGUCGACCCCUAAGGCGAGGCCGAAAGGCGUAGUCGAUGGGAAACAGGUUAAUAUUCCUGUACUUGGUGUUACUGCGAAGGGGGGACGGAGAAGGCUAUGUUGGCCGGGCGACGGUUGUCCCGGUUUAAGCGUGUAGGCUGGUUUUCCAGGCAAAUCCGGAAAAUCAAGGCUGAGGCGUGAUGACGAGGCACUACGGUGCUGAAGCAACAAAUGCCCUGCUUCCAGGAAAAGCCUCUAAGCAUCAGGUAACAUCAAAUCGUACCCCAAACCGACACAGGUGGUCAGGUAGAGAAUACCAAGGCGCUUGAGAGAACUCGGGUGAAGGAACUAGGCAAAAUGGUGCCGUAACUUCGGGAGAAGGCACGCUGAUAUGUAGGUGAAGUCCCUCGCGGAUGGAGCUGAAAUCAGUCGAAGAUACCAGCUGGCUGCAACUGUUUAUUAAAAACACAGCACUGUGCAAACACGAAAGUGGACGUAUACGGUGUGACGCCUGCCCGGUGCCGGAAGGUUAAUUGAUGGGGUUAGCGCAAGCGAAGCUCUUGAUCGAAGCCCCGGUAAACGGCGGCCGUAACUAUAACGGUCCUAAGGUAGCGAAAUUCCUUGUCGGGUAAGUUCCGACCUGCACGAAUGGCGUAAUGAUGGCCAGGCUGUCUCCACCCGAGACUCAGUGAAAUUGAACUCGCUGUGAAGAUGCAGUGUACCCGCGGCAAGACGGAAAGACCCCGUGAACCUUUACUAUAGCUUGACACUGAACAUUGAGCCUUGAUGUGUAGGAUAGGUGGGAGGCUUAGAAGUGUGGACGCCAGUCUGCAUGGAGCCGACCUUGAAAUACCACCCUUUAAUGUUUGAUGUUCUAACGUUGACCCGUAAUCCGGGUUGCGGACAGUGUCUGGUGGGUAGUUUGACUGGGGCGGUCUCCUCCUAAAGAGUAACGGAGGAGCACGAAGGUUGGCUAAUCCUGGUCGGACAUCAGGAGGUUAGUGCAAUGGCAUAAGCCAGCUUGACUGCGAGCGUGACGGCGCGAGCAGGUGCGAAAGCAGGUCAUAGUGAUCCGGUGGUUCUGAAUGGAAGGGCCAUCGCUCAACGGAUAAAAGGUACUCCGGGGAUAACAGGCUGAUACCGCCCAAGAGUUCAUAUCGACGGCGGUGUUUGGCACCUCGAUGUCGGCUCAUCACAUCCUGGGGCUGAAGUAGGUCCCAAGGGUAUGGCUGUUCGCCAUUUAAAGUGGUACGCGAGCUGGGUUUAGAACGUCGUGAGACAGUUCGGUCCCUAUCUGCCGUGGGCGCUGGAGAACUGAGGGGGGCUGCUCCUAGUACGAGAGGACCGGAGUGGACGCAUCACUGGUGUUCGGGUUGUCAUGCCAAUGGCACUGCCCGGUAGCUAAAUGCGGAAGAGAUAAGUGCUGAAAGCAUCUAAGCACGAAACUUGCCCCGAGAUGAGUUCUCCCUGACUCCUUGA